rnacentral:rRNA from 1 species
AUGGGCGCCGGCGAGGGGAAGCAUGGGAAGGGGCUGGUGAGGAGCUGGGCGCAGAGGUACCUCAACCUCGGCUUCGUCGCCGGCUUCCUGCUCGUGCUCCUCGCCUACAUCGUCGUCACCCAGCAGUUCGUCAUCACCUCACCGGAAGCUGUGCCCACGAUGACGCCGCACCGGAAGCAGGCGAUCAGCGCUCCCGGCGCCGGCGAAACAGGGACGCCGGAGGCUCGAGUAGAGGACAAGGCGGAGACGAAACCUGUGGACGCUUCUUCCGGUGAUGAAACUCCAAAUGAGGAGGAGCAGCAGCAACAGCAACAGCAACAGCCGGAUGCGGAGCCGGAAUGGAAGAAGCCGGAAGACACGGUGGCGACGGAGCAAGAGCCCCCCAAAAGAGACGACACCGCUGCCGAACCGCUCGACAACGGCAAAGUGGUGUGCACCACGGAGGGCCCCUUCUCCGACACGUGCGACGUCUUCGGCAACGUCCGGACCAACGGCACGGCGCACACCGUCACCCUCGUCCCGGCGACCCAGACGGAGAGCCGGGAGUGGAAGAUCCAGCCCUACGCCCGCCGCACCAUGUCCGGCAUCUCGGAGGUCACGGUGACGCAGCUCGACUCGACCUCGGCGGAGUACCCGGCGCCGGCGUGCACGGUGACGCACAACAUACCGGGCAUCGUGUUCGCGCUCGGCGGCCUCACGGGCAACUACUUCCACGACUUCAGCGACGCGCUGGUGCCGCUGUUCAUCGCGUCGCGGCGGUACGGUGGUGAGGUCCAGCUCCUGGCCAGCAACAUCCAACCGUGGUGGCUCGGCAAGUACGAGGCCGUGGUGAGACGGCUGUCCAAGUACGACGUCGUGGACCUCGACCAUGACGAUCAGAUCCGGUGCUUCCCGAGCGUCACCGUCGGGCUCCGCAUGCACAAGGAGUUCGACAUCGUGCCGGAGCUGGAGAAGAGGAAGCCGCGGCUGAUGCUGCUCCACCGUGGCCACUACCGGAAGUUCGUGAACGUGCCGGAGAUCGUGAAGGCGGCGGAGAAUGCCGGGUUCGAGGUGGCCAUAGCGGACCCGCGGUUCGACGUGCAGGUGGAGGAGCUGGGCCGGUCGGUGAACUCGUUCGACGUGCUGCUGGGCGUGCACGGCGCCGGGCUGACCAACGCAGUGUUCAUGCCCACAGGGGCGGUGGUGAUCCAGGUGGUGCCGUACGGCAAUCUUGAGCGGAUGGCGAAGGUGGACUUCGGCGACCCCGUGGCGGACAUGGGGCUCCGGUACCUCGAGUACAGCAUCACGGCGGAGGAGAGCACGCUGCUGGAGAUGCUGGGGCCGGACCACCCCGUGAUCAAGGACCCGGAGUCGGUGCACCGGAGCGGCUGGGACAAGGUCGCCGAGUACUACCUCGGCAAGCAGGACGUGCGCGUCGACGUGGAGCGCUUCGCGCCCACGCUCGCGUUGGCCAUCGAACAUCUCCGGCAGAAGUAG